GCUUACGGCCACACCGGCCUGAGUACGCCUGAUCUCGUCCGAUCUCGGAAGCUAAGCAGGGUCGGGCCUGGUUAGUACUUGGAUGGGAGACCGCCUGGGAAUACCAGGUGCUGUAAGCU
ensembl:rRNA 5S_rRNA 5S ribosomal RNA